GUGCCAGCCGCCGCGGUAAUACGGAGGGUGCGAGCGUUGUCCGGAAUCACUGGGCGUAAAGGGCGCGUAGGCGGCAUGCCAAGCGUGUGGUGAAAGCCCGGGGCUCAACCCCGGGUCGGCCGUGCGGACUGGCGUGCUUGAGCACUGUAGGGGCGGGUGGAAUUCCGGGUGUAGCGGUGGAAUGCGUAGAGAUCCGGAAGAACACCGGUGGCGAAGGCGGCCCGCUGGGCAGGAAGGAAGCGCAAGCUUCCGGCUGACGCUGAGGCGCGACAGCGUGGGGAGCAAACAGGAUUAGAUACCCCUGUAGUCC
rnacentral:rRNA from 1 species